GAUCAUGGCUCAGGAUGAACGCUAGCUACAGGCUUAACACAUGCAAGUCGAGGGGCGAGCGAGAGUGUAGCAAUACACUUGUCGGGCGACCGGCGCACGGGUGAGUAACGCGUAUCCAACCUGGCCCUUAGUAGGGAUAGCCCGGCGAAAGUCGGAUUAAUACCCUAUGUUUUCCCAUGAGAGCAUUUGAAAGGGACAAAGGAUUUAUCGCUAGGGGAUGGGGAUGCGUCCGAUUAGGCAGCAGGCGGGGUGACGGCCCACCUGGCCGACGAUCGGUAGGGGUUCUGAGAGGAAGGUCCCCCCACACUGGUACUGAGACACGGACCAGACUCCUACGGGGGGCAGCAGUGAGGAAUAUUGGUCAAUGGGCGGGAGCCUUAGAACCAGCCAAGUAGCGUGAGGGACGACGGCCCUACGGGUUGUAAACCUCUUUUGCCGGGGAAUAAAGUGUCGGGACGCGUCCCGUUUUGUAUGUACCCGGAGAAUAAGGACCGGCUAAUUCCGUGCCAGCCGCAGC
rnacentral:rRNA from 1 species